rnacentral:rRNA from 1 species
GGGGGGGGUAGGAGGAGCUUGCGUUUCCGCUGACGACCGGCGCACGGGUGCGUAACGCGUAUAGAACCUACCUUUUACAGGGGAAUAGCCCAGAGAAAUUUGGAUUAAUGCCCUAUAGUAUUGUUGAAUGGCAUCAUUUAAUAAUUAAACAUUUAUGGGUAAAAGAUGGCUAUGCGUUCUAUUAGCUAGAUGGUAAGGUAACGGCUUACCAUGGCAACGAUAGAUAGGGGUCCUGAGAGGGAGAUCCCCCACACUGGUACUGAGACACGGACCAGACUCCUACGGGAGGCAGCAGUGAGGAAUAUUGGACAAUGGAGGCAACUCUGAUCCAGCCAUGCCGCGUGCAGGAAGACUGCCCUAUGGGUUGUAAACUGCUUUUAUAUAGGAAGAAACAUCCCGACGUGUCGGGAUUUGACGGUACUAUAAGAAUAAGGACCGGCUAACUCCGUGCCAGCAGCCGCGGUAAUACGGAGGGUCCGAGCGUUAUCCGGAAUCAUUGGGUUUAAAGGGUCCGUAGGCGGGCUUCUAAGUCAGUGGUGAAAUCUUACGGCUCAACCGUAAAAUUGCCAUUGAUACUGGAAGUCUUGAAUUAGUGUGAAGUGGUUAGAAUGUGUAGUGUAGCGGUGAAAUGCAUAGAUAUUACACAGAAUACCAAUUGCGAAGGCAGAUCACUAACACUAUAUUGACGCUGAGGGACGAAAGCGUGGGGGGCGAACAGGAUUAAGAUACCCUGUAGUCCACGCCGUAAACGAUGGAUACUAGCUGUUCGGUCUUCGGACUGAGUGGCUAAGCGAAAGUGAUAAGUAUCCCACCUGGGGAGUACGUUCGCAAGAAUGAAACUCAAAGGAAUUGACGGGGGCCCGCACAAGCGGUGGAGCAUGUGUUUUAAUUCGAUGAUACGCGAGGAACCUUACCAGGGCUUAAAUGUAGAUUGACAGGUAUAGAGAUAGACUUUUCUUCGGACAAUUUACAAGGUGCUGCAUGGUUGUCGUCAGCUCGUGCCGUGAGGUGUCAGGUUAAGUCCUAUAACGAGCGCAACCCCUGUUGUUAGUUGCCAGCGAGUCAUGUCGGGAACUCUAACAAGACUGCCAGUGCGAACUGUGAGGAAGGUGGGGAUGACGUCAAAUCAUCACGGCCCUUACGUCCUGGGCUACACACGUGCUACAAUGGUAGGGACAGAGAGCAGCCACUGGGCGACCAGGAGCGAAUCUAUAAACCCUAUCACAGUUCGGAUCGGAGUCUGCAACUCGACUCCGUGAAGCUGGAAUCG